rnacentral:rRNA from 1 species
GUUGAUCCUGCCGGAGGUUACUGCUAUCGGUGUUUGACUAAGCCAUGCGAGUCAAAUGUUCUUCGUGAACAUGGCGUAAUGCUCAGUAACACGUGGAUAACCUGCCCUUAGGUCCGGCAUAAUCUCGGGAAACUGAGGAUAAUUCCGGAUAGCUCUUUGGCCGGAAAUGCAUUAAGAGUAAAAGUAUCUCGCCUAAGGAUGGGUCUGCGGCCUAUCAGGUAGUAGAGGGUGUAACGCACCUUCCAGCCGACAACGGGUACGGGUUGUGAGAGCAAGAGCCCGGAGAUGGAUUCUGAGACAUGAAUCCAGGCCCUACGGGGCGCAGCAGGCGCGAAAACUUUACAAUGCAGGAAACUGUGAUAAGGAAACACCGAGUGCCCGCAUCUAAUGCGGGCUGUCCGCGUACCCAAAUCGUACGCGUCAGCAAGGACCGGGUAAUACCGGUGCCAGCCGCCGCGGUAAUACCGGUGGUCCGAGUGGUAGCCGCUUUUAUUUGGUCUAAAGGGUCUGUAGCCGGUCCGGUCAGUCCAUUGGUAAAUCCGCGCGCUCAACACGCGGUCUUCAGUGGAUACUUCCGGACUUGGGACCGGGAGAGGUAAGAGGUACUAUAGGGGUAGGAGUGAAAUCCUGUAAUCCUUAUGAGACCACCGGUGGCGAAGGCGUCUUACCGGAACGGGUCCGACGGUGAGGGACGAAAGCUGGGGGCACGAACCGGAUUAGAUACCCGGGUAGUCCCAGCCGUAAACUAUGCCCGCUGGGUGUCAGGCAUGGCAUGACUGUGUCCGGUGCCGUAGAGAAGUCGUGAAGCGGGCCACCUGGGAAGUACGGCCGCAAGGCUGAAACUUAAAGGAAUUGGCGGGGGAGCACUACAACGGGUGGAGCCUGCGGUUUAAUUGGACUCAACGCCGGAAAACUCACCAGGGGAGACAGCAAUAUGUAGGUCAGGCUGAAGGUCUUACCCGAAUCGCUGAGAGGAGGUGCAUGGUCGUCGCCAGUUCGUACUGUGAAGCAUCCUGUUAAGUCAGGCAACGAGCGAGACCCCG